rnacentral:rRNA from 1 species
UACAGAGGGGGCAAGCGUUAUUCGGAAUUAUUGGGCGUAAAGGGCGCGUAGGCGGCUUUGCAAGUGACGGGUGAAAUCCCUCGGCUUACCCGAGGAACUGCCUGUCAGACUGCAUGGCUUGAGACCGGGAGAGGUGAGUGGAAUUCCCAGUGUAGCGGUGAAAUGCGUAGAUAUUGGGAGGAACACCAGUGGCGAAGGCGGCUCACUGGACCGGUACUGACGCUGAUGCGCGAAAGCGUGGGGAGCAAACAGG